GGUUAAAAAGCUCGUAGUUGGAUUUCUGCUGAGGACGACCGGUCCGCCCUCUGGGUGAGUAUCUGGCUCGGCCUUGGCAUCUUCUUGGGGAACGUAACUGCACUUGACUGUGUGGUGCGGUAUCCAGGACUUUUACUUUGAGGAAAUUAGAGUGUUUCAAGCAGGCGCACGCCUUGAAUACAUUAGCAUGGAAUAAUAAGAUAGGACCUUGGUUCUAUUUUGUUGGUUUCUAGAGCUGAGGUAAUGAUUAAUAGGGAUAGUUGGGGGCAUUCGUAUUUAACUGUCAGAGGUGAAAUUCUUGGAUUUGUUAAAGACGGACUACUGC
rnacentral:rRNA from 1 species